rnacentral:rRNA from 1 species
CUACGGGCCGCUGCAGUGAGGAAUAUUGCACAAUGGGGGGAACCCUGAUGCAGCAACGCCGCGUGGAGGAUGACGCAUUUCGGUGUGUAAACUCCUUUUAUAUGUCAAGAAAAUGACGGUAGCAUAUGAAUAAGCACCGGCUAACUCCGUGCCAGCAGCCGCGGUAAUGCGGAGGGUGCAAGCGUUACUCGGAAUCACUGGGCGUAAAGGACGCGUAGGCGGGUUGGAAAGUCAGGUGUGAAAUCCUACAGCUUAACUGUAGAACUGCACUUGAAACUUCUAAUCUAGAGUAUGGGAGGGGGAGAUGGAAUUAGUGGUGUAGGGGUAAAAUCCGUAGAUAUCACUAGGAAUACCUAAAGCGAAGGCGAUCUCCUGGAACAUUACUGACGCUAAGGCGUGAAAGUGUGGGGAGCAAACAGGAUUAGAUACCCGCGUAGUC